rnacentral:rRNA from 1 species
UGGGGAAUCUUGCACAAUGGGCGGAAGCCUGAUGCAGCGACGCCGCGUGGGGGAUGACGGCCUUCGGGUUGUAAACUCCUUUCGCCAGGGACGAAGCCGUGAGGUGACGGUACCUGGAUAAGAAGCACCGGCUAACUACUUGCCAGCAGCCGCGGUAAUACGUAGGGUGCGAGCGUUGUCCGGAAUUACUGGGCGUAAAGAGCUCGUAGGUGGUUUGUCGCGUCGUCUGUGAAAUUCCGGGGCUUAACUCCGGGCGUGCAGGCGAUACGGGAAUAACUUGAGUGCUGUAGGGGAGACUGGAAUUCCUGGUGUAGCGGUGAAAUGCGCAGAUAUCAGGAGGAACACCGAUGGCGAAGGCAGGUCUCUGGGCAGUAACUGACGCUGAGGAGCGAAAGCAUGGGUAGCGAACAGG